rnacentral:rRNA from 1 species
UACGUAGGUGACAAGCGUUAUCCGGAAUUACUGGGCGUAAAGCGCACGCAGGCGGCGCAUUAAGUCUGACGUGAAAUCUCCUGGCUUAACUGGGAGGGGUCGUUGGAGACUGAUGUGCUUGAGGCGAUGAGAGGGGUGUAGAAUUCCCGGUGUAGUGGUGGAAUGCGUAGAUAUCGGGAGGAAUACCAGUGGCGAAAGCGACGCGCUGGCAUUAGCCUGACGCUCAUGUGCGAAGGCGUGGGGAG